rnacentral:rRNA from 1 species
AGUCGAGGGGCAGCAUGGUCUUAGCUUGCUAAGGCCGAUGGCGACCGGCGCACGGGUGAGUAACACGUAUCCAACCUGCCGUCUACUCUUGGACAGCCUUCUGAAAGGAAGAUUAAUACAAGAUGGCAUCAUGAGCCCGCAUGUUCACAUGAUUAAAGGUAUUCCGGUAGACGAUGGGGAUGCGUUCCAUUAGAUAGUAGGCGGGGUAACGGCCCACCUAGUCUUCGAUGGAUAGGGGUUCUGAGAGGAAGGUCCCCCACAUUGGAACUGAGACACGGUCCAAACUCCUACGGGAGGCAGCAGUGAGGAAUAUUGGUCAAUGGGCGAGAGCCUGAACCAGCCAAGUAGCGUGAAGGAUGACUGCCCUAUGGGUUGUAAACUUCUUUUAUAAAGGAAUAAAGUCGGGUAUGCAUACCCGUUUGCAUGUACUUUAUGAAUAAGGAUCGGCUAACUCCGUACCAGCAGCCGCGGUAAUACGGAGGAUCCGAGCGUUAUCCGGAUUUAUUGGGUUUAAAGGGAGCGUAGAUGGAUGUUUAAGUCAGUUGUGAAAGUUUGCGGCUCAACCGUAAAAUUGCAGUUGAUACUGGAUAUCUUGAGUGCAGUUGAGGCAGGCGGAAUUCGUGGUGUAGCGGUGAAAUGCUUAGAUAUCACGAAGAACUCCGAUUGCGAAGGCAGCCUGCUAAGCUGCAACUGACAUUGAGGCUCGAAAGUGUGGGUAUCAAACAGGAUUAGAUACCCUGGUAGUCCACACGGUAAACGAUGAAUACUCGCUGUUUGCGAUAUACAGCAAGCGGCCAAGCGAAAGCGUUA